AGUGGCGGACGGGUGAGUAACACGUAGGGAACCUGCCCUUGAGUGGGGGAUAGCCCGGGGAAACCCGGAUUAAUACCGCAUAAGCUUCCGAACUGGAAUGUUUGGGAGAAAAGGAGCAAUCCGCUCAUGGAUGGUCCUGCGGCCUAUCAGCUUGUUGGUGAGGUAAUGGCUCACCAAGGCUUAGACGGGUAGCCGGCCUGAGAGGGUGAACGGCCACACUGGAACUGAGACACGGUCCAG
rnacentral:rRNA from 1 species